UACGGGGGGGGGCAAGCGUUGUUCGGAAUUACUGGGCGUAAAGGGUUCGUAGGUGGCCUGCUAAGUCACACGUGAAAUCCCUCAGCUUAACUGGGGAACUGCGUCUGAUACUGGUUGGCUUGAAUCCGGGAGAGGGAUGUGGAAUUCCAGGUGUAGCGGUGAAAUGCGUAGAUAUCUGGAGGAACACCGGUGGCGAAGGCGGCAUCCUGGACCGGUAUUGACGCUGAGGAGCGAAAGCCAGGGGAGCAAACGGGG
rnacentral:rRNA from 1 species